rnacentral:sRNA from 1 species
AUUGUUUUAUAUAAUGUAUGUUCAUAUAAAGUAAAGUUGAAUGCAUCUGUUUUUUUAAACAUAAAUAUGAUUUGUAAUUGUUUUCAAAAAGUCCAACUAUAUUAGUUCAUCUGAAAACGAAAGUGCUUGAAUUGUUUUUUAUUGUUGUUCUAGAUUCUCCGUUGUUUUUUUAAUUUAUAUAUCCUUGUUCUUUUAGUUAUAUAUUUAGUUUGUGAGACGGUGAAAUUUUAGAAAAUUUAAUUCUUACAUUAAAAAUAUAACAUGUCUUUAUUAACCAUGUCUCUGCAUAUCCAAUAUAAUCAUAUUCAACUUGAUGUUCUUGAAAAAUUUAGUUAAAUUCUUGUCAUAAUUUGUAUUAGUUAUAAGGAUAGCUCCUUAAACAUCUUUCAAAUUACUUGUUUUCUUAGCAUAAAUCUCAAAAAGCUUAGAUAUAUUUAAUUUGCAUAUUCAUUUAGUUUCUUUCAUAAUAAUCGUCUAAUUUUUAGGCAAGGAAUCUAUAUAUACAUUUUUGCAGCCAUUUUGUGAAAUAAAUCCUGUAGUUGGACUUAUUUACAAUAGUUGCCACUGGAUUUUAAUGUUUGUUUUUGAUAAUUAAAAAGAAAAUCUUCGAAUUAAAUAUUUGACAUUUAACAAUCUUCCCAAAAUCUCUCCACAUUAACUACACGAUUAUUUACUAAAAUAUUACUUCCAACAUAUUUAAUAUCAUUUAAUUACUACAAAAUUAUCAUUUUUGAUAUUGCUUCUCUCCAUAACUAUAACAAUUCGAUUAUAAUCAUCAAAGCGCAGAGAUAUAAUCUGAUAGCAUUUAAUUACUACAAAAUUACAAAAUAUUUAGACAAUGAUUCAUAAACAUAUCAUAAAUAAGAUCAACAUUAAUAAAAUAAAUGGUUUUUUUUUUAGAGGACGGGUUUGGCAGGACGUUACUUAAUAACAUUUGUAAACUAUAAAAUAAAAUUAUUUUAUAGAUAGAUACAAUUUAUAAACUUUUAUAUAUACUAAAUUUAAAAAAUAAAUUGUUCCCUCGGUAUACCGCGGGUUAAAAUUUAGUAUGUGUAACAUGUUUGGAUCUCAAAAUUAAAGAGAAUAUAUUGAAUUAAAAAAUGUAGAAAGAGUGAUGGUUCAAGUUCUGAUUAAUUAUAUCCUCCUAUUUUAGUUAUUAUGUUGAAUUAAUUACUAAUUAUGUAUUAUUUAUUUUAUGAAGUCUAGGUGCCAAGCUCUCAUGUGCUGAUGUGUCAAAUUGUGGGAGAGAGUUGACCAACUUUCAUAUAUAUGAUUAGGUUAAUUAGAUAAGACCUAAAACGACGACGUUUGCUGCUCUCUCUGUAAUCUCAAGAUUCUGAUUAGGGAAGGAUUUCAAAACGGUACGUAGUCGGUUUAGUUAGGGAGCGGUAAAUUGGUCAGACCGGACCAAUGGUUUUAUUACAUUGAUUUGGUUA